rnacentral:rRNA from 1 species
GACAGAGGGUGCAAACGUUGUUCGGAUUCAUUGGGCGUAAAGGGUGUGUAGGUGGCGCCGUAAGUCGGGUGUGAAAUUUCGGAGCUUAACUCCGAAACUGCAUUCGAUACUGCGGUGCUUGAGGACUGGAGAGGAGACUGGAAUUCAUGGUGUAGCAGUGAAAUGCGUAGAGAUCAUGAGGAAGACCAGUGGCGAAGGCGGGUCUCUGGACAGUUCCUGACACUGAGACACGAAGGCCAGGGGAGCAAACGGG